AUUGAACGCUGGCGGCAUGCUUUACACAUGCAAGUCGAACGGUAACAGGGUGCUUGCACCGCUGACGAGUGGCGAACGGGUGAGUAAUGCGUCGGAACGUGCCGAGUAGUGGGGGAUAACGCAGCGAAAGUUGUGCUAAUACCGCAUACGUACUGAGGUAGAAAGUGGGGGACCUUCGGGCCUCACGCUAUUCGAGCGGCCGACGUCUGAUUAGCUAGUAGGUGAGGUAAAGGCUCACCUAGGCGACGAUCAGUAGCGGGUCUGAGAGGAUGAUCCGCCACACUGGGACUGAGACACGGCCCAGACUCCUACGGGAGGCAGCAGUGGGGAAUUUUGGACAAUGGGCGCAAGCCUGAUCCAGCCAUGCCGCGUGCAGGAUGAAGGCCUUCGGGUUGUAAACUGCUUUUGUACGGAACGAAAAGGUUUGACUUAAUACGUUGGACUCAUGACGGUACCGUAAGAAUAAGCACCGGCUAACUACGUGCCAGCCGCCGCAGUAA
rnacentral:rRNA from 1 species